ACUCCCGCCACCACCUGCCCUCCCGCGACCGCCUCUCUCCUCCUCAGUGGGCACCUAUCUCCUUCUAACAAACGGCCUUCCCCCCACUCCAGUUACCCACCGCAAGGCGAAGAUUCUCAUUACCUGUUCCACUCUUAUAAGCAUAAGAAAACCGAGCUCAUAAGCAACAGCCAACUCAGUUUAUAAAUCCAGAAACACCUGGCUAUGUUGGAUUUGCAAAUCUCCCCAAUCAAGUUCACCGAAAAUCAGUGAAAAAAGGUUUUGAGUUCACACUGAUGGUGGUCGGUGAAUCAGGUCUAGGAAAAUCGACUCUCAUAAACAGCCUAUUCCUAACUGAUCUCUACCCAGAAAGAGUCAUACCUGGAGCAGCAGUUUGUUUCUUUUCUAGAAAAAAUUGAAAGAACUGUCCAGAUUGAGGCUUCAACUGUUGAAAUUGAAGAGCGAGGGGUCAAGCUACGCCUGACAGUGGUAGAUACCCCUGGCUAUGGUGACGCUAUCAACUGCAGAGAUUGUUUUAAGACAAUUAUCUCCUAUAUUGAUGAGCAAUUUGAGAGGUACCUGCAUGACGAGAGCGGCUUGAACA
rnacentral:sRNA from 1 species